UACGUAGGGUCCGAGCGUUGUCCGGAAUUAUUGGGCGUAAAGGGCUCGUAGGCGGUUUGUCGCGUCGAAUGUGAAAACUCGGGGCUUAACUCCGGGCCUGCAGUGGGUACGGGCAGACUAGAGUGCGGUAGGGGAGACUGGAAUUCCUGGUGUAGCGGUGAAAUGCGCAGAUAUCAGGAGGAACACCGGUGGCGAAGGCGGGUCUCUGGGCCGUAACUGACGCUGAGGAGCGAAAGCGUGGGGAGCGAACAGG
rnacentral:rRNA from 1 species